GCUUUCGUGGUGUAGCGGUCAGCACGCUCGACGCGCAUUCGAGAGGUCCUAGGUUCGAAUACCACCGAGAGCA
rnacentral:tRNA from 1 species